rnacentral:tRNA from 1 species
UGUCCUGUGGUGUAACGGUAGCACACCGGAUUCUGGUUCCGUUUGUGAGGGUUCGAAUCCCUCCAGGACAA